CGCGUAGGCGGUUUCGGAAGUCAUGGGUGAAAGUCCUCGGCUCAACCGAGGGAUUGCCUGUGAAACCACGGGACUGGAGUGCUGGAGAGGGAAGCGGAAUUCCCAGUGUAGCGGUGAAAUGCGUAGAUAUUGGGAGGAACAUCUGUGGCGAAGGCGGCUUCCUGGACAGACACUGACGCUGAGGCGCGAAAGCCAGGGGGAGCGAACG
rnacentral:rRNA from 1 species